rnacentral:tRNA from 1 species
GGCCCAUUGGUCCAGUGGUUAAGACGCUCCAGUCAAAUUGGAGAGACCGAGGUUUAAGCCAUUGAGGGGCCA